rnacentral:tRNA from 1 species
GUCCCUAUAGCGCAAUGGAUUGCGCGUUGGACUUCUAAUCCAAAGGUCGUGGGCUCGGAUCCCACUUGGAUGGACU